UAAGGUCACGGCGAGACGAGCCGUUUAUCAUUACGAUAGGUGUCAAGUGGAAGUGCAGUGAUGUAUGCAGCUGAGGCAUCCUAACAGACCGAGAGAUUUGAACCUUGUUCCUACACGACCUGAUCCGUUCGAUCAGGCACUCGCCAUCUAUUUUCAUUGUUCAACUGUUUGACAACAUGAAAAAACCAAAAGCUCUGCCCGUCCCUCCCUUGGAUAGAUAGGGAAGGGCA
rnacentral:rRNA from 1 species